rnacentral:tRNA from 1 species
GCCUUUAUGGUGUAACGGUAGCACACUCGGCGCGUAUUUGAGAAGUCCAGGUUCGAAUCCUGGUGAGGGCA